UAUAUAUAUAUUUGCUCUUGAUUAAGGUAUUAUGAUUGUAUAGUUCAUAUUAAAAAUGUAAUGUACAAUUAAAAAAAUAUAGGUUGUUAAUGGAUAAUCAUCAAUAAUGGUCAAGCUUAUAGUCAUGUUAGUUGGAUUUUCUAGAUAUAUAGAGAUAUAUUUCAAUUAGAUAGAUAUUUUUCAUAUCUUUCAAAGACUACAAAACAUGGCAUUUAAUGUUUUAAUAACUUAUGGUUUUUCAUGGCAAUAAGACACGUCUGCUACUGGCAGCCCCAGCUACUUCAAGAAAAAGAUGGGCAUUAAAGAGGCUCCUUAUGGAGUUUACUAGCCAUUUGGACAAAAAACUGCUCUUGCCUGGACUGCUUAUCUGGAUACAAUGAACCCACAGAGAAAAGACUGCUAAACUUGUCUAAAGAUGAGAUGGUCUUUCAGAGUUCCUGAUUCAUAAAAGAGUCUAAGAGAAAUUCUACAGGACACAGCAAAAAAUAACUAAACUGUCUUUAAAAUUUUCCUGCUUCAUAAAAAUGUCUGCUUAAAACUAUAAAAAUGGAUGCCCCAACGAUACAGAGAAACUUUGGGUGACUGUCCAGGCAACGAGAUGUCUCUGUCAUUUCUAGAGUUUUGGAUUUCUUGUUUACUUAGGUAAUAUUAUAUCCUUCUAAAGUCUUUAAUGGAGUUAAAAAAUGGUUAAUUAUAGUUUUCCUAAGUUAUAAUAAAGAAUAAAAUAGAUAUAAAUAUUACAACUGUAAUUCUUGCUUGAUAACUGUUUUGUAAUAUGUAAUCUUACUAUAUUAAAAUAAAAGCCUUUCUUUUUUGUUUAAACAAAAAAGGGGGAAAUGAUAGAGGUGGGUGUUGUACCUUAUCUGUUGCUUUUAUUGGUUAAGUAAUAAAAAAAACUGCUUGGCCCUCUGAUAGGGCAGAAUUUAGAUAGGUGGAGUAAACAGAACAGAAUGCUGGGGAAAAAAAAAAGCCGAGUCAAGAGUCGCCAUGAUUCUCCCACUCCAGACAGAUGCAGGUUAAGAUCUUCCUUGGUAAGCCACCACAUGGGCCACACAGAUUAUUAGAAAUGGGUUAGAUCAAUAUGAAAGAGCUAGCCUAUAAGAGGCUAGAACUAAUGGGCCAGGCAGUGAUUAAAAGAGUACAGUUAUUUCUGGGCAUAAGCUAGCUGAUGGCCAGGAGCCAGGUGGCAGGGAUGCAGCCCCGCUGCUCCUAUUACUACAUCUAUACACCACAUACUAUAUACUAUAAACUAUAUACUGUACAGUAUACACCUCACAAGGUUUUUCAAUUAAUGUAGUUUGCAUAGAUUCCCUUUCUCUUUCUCGUUGUCAGUUCCAUAGUUCAGCUGACACCACUGCACUGUUGGAUUAUUGGAAAUAGGCAACGUAUUAUAUCACUUCUCCCAAAAGCCUUCAGUAGCAGAUACUAGUUUUUAUCAUAUUUACAACUGACCUUACCUGUUGCUAUCCUCCAGCUCCCACCUUAUAUCUACUGUGAUGCAAAAAAUUGUUCCAUUGCAUAUAUAGUCUGUUUCAUGUUCCUGCACUCAAAUACAUACUUUUAUUCUCUAAAAUUCAAGUCUAUAUGACCCGAAAAAGAAGCUCUUUCAAAUCCCUGCUAUUGAGGUCAAGAAUAUUUUCUCUUUCCUCCUUGGCACAUCUAUCAUUUUCCUGGUGAACAAUUUGUCACAUUAUAUUUUAAAUGUUUAAAUAUUUAAAAUAUUUCACAUUAGUUGUUUAGAUAUCUGUGUUGAAAGACUCCCUGGUGCUGCAAUUUAGUUCUAAUUAAUAUUUUCAUUUCAGGAAUAAAACAACAGACUUAUCAUCCACCCCAAGUACUAAAACAGGCUUGGUGAAUCAAACUGUUUUAAUGAAAUGGUUUGGUGAAGCCAAUUCUAAACAACUUGUUUAGAGAUCAGAGACGGUUGAGCAAUGUAAAGAAAUGUACUGCUCCACUGAACUCAUUGGUGAGGGCACUGAUGUUCUGACGAGAUGCUCCUCCAAAGCCUUGCAACUGACGAGAGAAAUGAAACUGGGAUUCCAGCUCCGGCGGUCCCUCUGUGCCAUGGACAGACCACAGACAAAAGGACCAUGAUUGGCUUUACUCCCACAUGAACCUUGGGUCAUGAUUCAGCUGGACAGUCAUCUCUCCUCUCCCACACUGACCAAAGCCUCAGCCAGAUGGGGCUCGUGGGCAUGUGGCUGCAAGUACAGAAAGGACAAGACUGCAUGGGUGACUGCCUCAGGGUUUCCCACAGUGGUGGCUCUCAGCUGCUGAGGUCCCAGAAUCAACCCAAACACAAGCACAGAGGAAGUCGAUCCAGGUUGACUUUGUCACUUUCCAUCUAAAUACUAAUGAAGGGUGACCAUUCAAAGUACAAGAGUGCCUUGCCACCUAACACAGGGCUGUCAUGCUGACCUGGUACAAUAGCUUAUCUGUGCAUCUGAAAAGCUCUGGCAAAGGGCAUGUCACUCAUUUCUCCCCAGAACCUGGAGACUCUGACAAUAGCAUCUUCCUCAUGUAAUACAUGGAACAACUUAGACCAACACCUGAUGUCAGAGUAGAUAAAAAACAUAUUUCUCAAUCCUACAAAAGGUAUUAUAAAUGUGUAUGUUGCUUAGCAAACUGAAAAAGAAGUUUAAAAACUGUUAAGAAGCUAUUGUGAGAGGACUGGAGAGAUGGCUCAGAGGUUAAGAGCAUUGCCUGCUUUUCCAAAGGUCCUGAGUUCAAUUCCCAGCAACUACAUGGUGGCUCACAACCAUCUGUAAUAGUGUCUGGUGCCUUCUUCUGGUCUGCAGGCAUACACACAGACAGAAUAUUGUGUAAAUAAUAAAUAAAUAAAUGUU